GACGAACGCUGGCGGCGUGCUUAACACAUGCAAGUCGAACGGAAAGGCCCUGCUUUUGUGGGGUGCCCGAGUGGCGAACGGGUGAGUAACACGUGAGUAACCUGCCCUUGACUUUGGGAUAACUUCAGGAAACUGGGGCUAAUACCGGAUAGGAGCUCCUGCUGCAUGGUGGGGGUUGGAAAGUUUCGGCGGUUGGGGCUGGACUCGCGGCUUAUCAGCUUGUUGGUGGGGUAGUGGCUUACCAAGGCUUUGACGGGUAGCCGGCCUGAGAGGGUGACCGGCCACAUUGGGACUGAGAUACGGCCCAGACUCCUACGGGAGGCAGCAGUGGGGAAUAUUGCACAAUGGGCGGAAGCCUGAUGCAGCAACGCCGCGUGCGGGAUGACGGCCUUCGGGUUGUAAACCGCUUUCGCCUGUGACGAAGCGUGAGUGACGGUAAUGGGUAAAGAAGCACCGGCUAACUACGUG
rnacentral:rRNA from 1 species